CAUCCCUCAGGCUUGGGCCAGCUGCUCCACAGGAGAAAAGAAUUCAGCAGUGACUCAGUGGGAUUUGCACCGGAAGGAACUCCUGCCAGUACUGAAAGCAUCCUCCGUGUGCCACACCCUGUUCCAGGAACAGUCACUACACGUCUAGAAGGUCCUGCCUGUUCCAAGGUCCUCUGUCAGCUAGGAGAAGAUACUAAUAAUCCAGACGCGGGCAAUCCCACUGCAGUGUGGGUGUGGGGCUGUGUGUGUCCACACAGGUCACUACCCACGCCAGGGAGGGCAGCGGCAGGAAAGGAACACUUUCUGGAGGACAGAAUGCCUGGCAGCAAAGAAAAGACCCUGACAGAGCGUGAGAAGAGAUUUGAUUGCGGGUGACAGGUAACCCCAAAUUCUUCUACAUGCCCGGGACCGCAGCCCAGGAAGGGAAGGACGCACCUGAGCUUGGACACCUCUUACUCAUCUUUGUGUCCUGUCGCACGUGGGCUCCACUCUCUCAGAUCGGCCUCCUCCCAGAGCAGAAAUCAAAUAGGUAAUGCAGAGUAGCGAUGAAGCAGGGGGCCUUCAUGUCAAUAUGCCCGGGGCUCAAACUGCAGUGUUUCUACUUGCUAGCUCUGUUCCGUCAGCAGGUCUGUUGACGUCUUCAGGCCUCAGUGUUCCCAUCUGUAAAAUGCGGAUGGUAUUGGAGCCUACUGCAUAAAAUAGAAAUAGUACUGCAAAUACUAUGGAGUGGUCAGCACAUUUUGGUGAAGAUGAUGACGAUGACAACGAUGUCUGCUGGCAUCUCACGGCUUUGCCAUCGAAGGGACUGAUACUCUUCCAAAUCUUUAGUUCUAACUGUCCCCACUCGGGUCAGGUGACUCUCCCCACACCAUUCAUGAUGGGCAUGUGCGAGGUUACUCUGAUUGGCUCACCCAUGAGCCAAUCAAGAGUAAGGGGGAAUGCAGAGAGGUGGGGUCAGGAGGAAGAUGGCAAGUCCUGCUAGAACCACAUCAAAGAAGAGAAGAAUGAGUUGUUUUUGCAAACAAGA